GAGAGAUAGUAAGGGUACCUAGAAACUGGGUGCCCAAACAUGAAUUUUUUAGGGACGAAUGCUUCUUGUCCGCUUGUGGUCUAAGCAGCAUGUUUAAAAAACAAGAAGCCAAGAAAAUGCUGCCCACCGAGAAGACACCGGCUAGGUCGGCUGCCGACAUCCGGAAAGCCAAUCUCGAGAAAAAACUUGCUGCCCAGGCGGCGAGGAAGGACGGGAAGCAGAUGCCCCGGUCCCUUCAAAAACAGGUCAGGCCUCCGCCGACCCAACAAGAGUCUGCAUCCAAGGUGCAGAAGACAGCCGACCGGCAAACUACCGGCGGCAAAU